rnacentral:rRNA from 1 species
CAAUAGCGUAUAUUUAAGUUGCUGCAGUUAAAAAGUUCGUAGUUGGAUUUCGGGUGGGAAUGGCCGGUCCGCCGUUUCGGUGUGCACUUGCUACGCCCACCUUGCUGCCGGGGACGUGCUCUUGAGUUCACGCUCGGGACACGGAGUCGGCGAGGUUACUUUGAGUAAAUUAGAGUGUUCAAAGCAGGCCUACGUUCUGAAUACAUUAGCAUGGAAUAACACGAUAGGACUCUGGCCUAUCUUGUUGGUCUGUAGGACCGGAGUAAUGAUUAAGAGGGACAGUCGGGGGCAUUCGUAUUGCAUUGUCAGAGGUGAAAUUCUUGGAUUUAUGAAAGACGAACUACUGCGAAAGCAUUUGCCAAGGAUGUUUUCAUUAA